AAAACAAAGACAAAGAAAUCACUCAGAAUAGAAGAUGAUAUAAU
rnacentral:guide_RNA from 1 species